rnacentral:rRNA from 1 species
AUUGAACGCUGGCGGCAGGCUUAACACAUGCAAGUCGAGCGGAGCGAGGGUGCUUGCACCUUAGCUUAGCGGCGGACGGGUGGGUAAUGCUUAGGAAUCUGCCUAUUAGUGGGGGACAACAUUCCGAAAGGAAUGCUAAUACCGCAUACGCCCUACGGGGGAAAGCAGGGGAUCUUCGGACCUUGCGCUAAUAGAUGAGCCUAAGUCGGAUUAGCUAGUUGGUGGGGUAAAGGCCUACCAAGGCGACGAUCUGUAGCGGGUCUGAGAGGAUGAUCCGCCACACUGGGACUGAGACACGGCCCAGACUCCUACGGGAGGCAGCAGUGGGGAAUAUUGGACAAUGGGCGGAAGCCUGAUCCAGCCAUGCCGCGUGUGUGAAGAAGGCCUUUUGGUUGUAAAGCACUUUAAGCGAGGAGGAGGCUACUUAGAUUAAUACUCUGGGAUAGUGGACGUUACUCGCAGAAUAAGCACCGGCUAACUCUGUGCCAGCAGCCGCUGUAA